AUUGAACGCUGGCGGUAGGCCUAACACAUGCAAGUCGAACGGCAGCACAGAGGAGCUUGCUCCUUGGGUGGCGAGUGGCGGACGGGUGAGGAAUACAUCGGAAUCUACUCUGUCGUGGGGGAUAACGUAGGGAAACUUACGCUAAUACCGCAUACGACCUACGGGUGUAAGCAGGGGACCUUCGGGCCUUGCGCGAUUGAAUGAGCCGAUGUCGGAUUAGCGAGUUGGCGGGGUAAAGGCCCACCAAGGCGGCGAGCCGUAGCUGGUCUGAGAGGGUGAUCAGCCACACUGGAACUGAGACACGGUCCAGACUCAUACGGGAGGCAGCGUUGGGGAAUAUUGGACAAUGGGCGCAAGCCUGAUCCAGCCAUACCGCGUGGGUGAAGAAGGCCUUCGGGUUGUAAAGCCCUUUUGUUGGGAAAGAAAUCCAGCUGGCUAAUACCCGGUUGGGAUGACGGUACCCAAAGAAUAAGCACCGGCUAACUUCGUGCCAGCCGCCGCAGUAA
rnacentral:rRNA from 1 species